CCUGGUUGAUCCUGCCAGUAGUCAUAUGCUUGUCUCAAAGAUUAAGCCAUGCAUGUGUAAGCACACACUGUUUUAAAAGUGAAGCCGCGAAUGGCUCAUUACAACAGCCACAGUUUAUUAGAACUUACAUACAUGGAUAACUGUGGUAAUUCUAGAGCUAAUACACGCACAAAAACUUCAACUGAAUUGGUUGAAGUGCUUUUAUUAGAACAAAAACCGAACGGCGUUCGACUUGUGUUGAACGUCGAAACUCUUUGGUGAAUCUGAAUAACUAUUUCUGAUCGCAUGGUCUAGCACCGGCGACAUCACUUUCAAGUGUCUGCCUUAUCAACCUUCGAUGGUAGUCUAUGCGACUACCAUGGUGAUAACGGGUAACGGAGAAUCAGGGUUCGACUCCGGAGAGGGAGCCUGAGAAACGGCUACCACAUCCAAGGAAGGCAGCAGGCGCGCAAAUUACCCACUCCCAGCUUGGGGAGGUAGUGACGAAAAAUAACGAGACGAUUCUCGUUUGAGAAACGUUAUCGAAAUGAGUACGCUUUACACACGCUAACGAGUAGCAAUUGGAGGGCAAGUCUGGUGCCAGCAGCCGCGGUAAUUCCAGCUCCAAUAGCGUAUAUUAAAGUUGCUGCGGUUAAAACGCUCGUAGUUGAAUUGUGGUCUUAGACAACAGUCCCCCUAUAUAGGUGUGGCACGGUUGCUCGAGAUCUUCAUUCGUGGUUGCUGUUGUUGCUCUUCAUUGAGUGUCAAUGGUGCCUCGAGAUUUUACUUUGAAAAAAUUAGAGUGCUCAAAGCAGGUUGUGAUGCCUGAAUAAUGGUGCAUGGAAUAAUAGAAUACGAUCUCGGUUCUAUUUUGUUGGUUUUCGAACCGGAGAUAAUGAUUGAAAGGAACAGACGGGGGCAUUCGUAUUGCUGCGUUAGAGGUGAAAUUCUUGGAUCGCAGCAAGAUGAACAAUUGCGAAAGCAUUUGCCAAGAAUGUUUUCAUUAAUCAAGAACGAAAGUUAGAGGUUCGAAGGCGAUCAGAUACCGCCCUAGUUCUAACGGUAAACUAUGCCAACCAGCGAUUCGCCGAAGUUCAUUUAAGACUCGGCGAGCAGCUUCCGGGAAACCAAAGUGUUUCGGUUCCGGGGGAAGUAUGGUUGCAAAGCUGAAACUUAAAGGAAUUGACGGAAGGGCACCACCAGGAGUGGAGCCUGCGGCUUAAUUUGACCCAACACGGGAAAACUCACCCGGCCCGGACACUGAAAGGAUUGACAGAUUGACAGCUCUUUCUUGAUUCAGUGGGUAGUGGUGCAUGGCCGUUCUUAGUUGGUGGAGCGAUUUGUCUGGUUAAUUCCGAUAACGAACGAGACUCUGGCAUGCUAACUAGUUACGCGACCCCCGAGCGGUCGGCGUCCCCCAACUUCUUAGAGGGACAAGUGGCGUUCAGCCACCCGAGAUUGAGCAAUAACAGGUCUGUGAUGCCCUUCGAUGUCCGGGGCUGCACGCGCGCUACAAUGAAAGCGUCAACGUGAGUUACGUCCUUACCUGAAAAGGUUUGGCAAUCGAUUGAAACGUUUUCUUGAAUGGAAUAGGGAAUUGCAAUUGUUUCCCUUGAACGAGGAAUUCCCAGUAAGCGUGAGUCAUUAGCUCGCGUUGAUUACGUCCCUGCCCUUUGUACACACCGCCCGUCGCUACUACCGAUUGGAUGAUUUAGUGAGGUGUUUUGACUAGCGCCUGUAGUCGGAUGUAUAUUCGGCUUCGCGCCGGGAAAUUUCCCAAACCAAAUCAUCUAGAGGAAGUAAAAGUCGUAACAAGGUUUCCGUAGGUGAACCUGCGGAAG
rnacentral:rRNA from 1 species